UAUUUAUCACCACUCUAUAUAUUAAUCUAUAUUAUCUAUUCAUCUAUCUGUCAUCUUACUGCUUAUCUGUCAAUCUGUAUGGACAUAACACAUAGCAAUAGCCUUGUGUUCAUACACAUGCAAAAAGACACAUCUGAAAUACUUUUCCACAAACACUAAUAAUUUUUUUCCUGUGUGAUGAGUUUUUGAAGGUGCUCCAGAGAGGACAUCAAAAAGUACUGUUGGUGAUCUGGGCCUUCUGGUUUACUGACAACCAGUUCCAAGAGAAAAGAAAGCAGCCAGGCUACUGAACAGAUACCUGACACGGUGCAUAAAUCCUGAGCAGUGAGCUUUGUGAUGACCUCUAAUCCCAUGGUAGCCAUCAAUGUCAUCCAUUCUCAAGAAAAGCUAGCAUUCUUAUGCUUCAUUAGUGAAAACUGGAUUACCUAAUAUCCUGAAUUUUCUGCAUCCUGAAUGUCACAUUCAAGUUUUUGGCCCAGAGGAUCUGAUUUCUACUGAGGUCCAAAGAUAUACCUUCUAUAGCGAUCAAAGGACAGCUUUCUUGCUUGAAACACAAGCAACUGCUCUCUGGUACAGGUAAGAACUUAUUGCUUCCAGGUAUAGUAGUAGAAUUUCAUUUCCCUUAAUAUAGCCUCUA
rnacentral:lncRNA from 12 species